UAGACCCCUAUGGACAAUACAUUUCUGUUG
rnacentral:piRNA from 1 species